rnacentral:rRNA from 1 species
AUUGAACGCUGGCGGCAGGCCUAACACAUGCAAGUCGAACGAGUGGCGGACGGGUGAGUAAUUUCUGGGAAACUGCCCGAUGGCGGGGGAUAACUACUGGAAACCGUAGCUAAUACCGCAUACCAUCAGAUGUGCCCUGAUGGGAUUAGCUUGUUGGUGGGGUACCGGCUCAUCAAGGCGACGAUCCCUAGCUCGUCUGAGAGUAGGACCGGCCACACUGGAACUGAGACACGGUCCGAACUCCUACGGGAGGCAGCAGUGGGGAAUAUUGCACAAGGGGCGCAAGCCUGAUGCAGCCAUGCCGCGUAUGUGAAGAAGGCCUUCGGGUUGUAAAGUACUGUCGGCGGGGAGGCGUUACCCGCAGAAGAAGCACCGGCUAACUCCGUGCCAGCAGCCGCGGUAAUAC